rnacentral:rRNA from 1 species
AAUGAACGCUGGCGGCAUGCCUUACACAUGCAAGUCGAACGGCAGCAUGACCUAGCUUGCUAGGUUGAUGGCGAGUGGCGAACGGGUGAGUAAUGCAUCGGAACGUGCCUUUUAGUGGGGGAUAACGUAGCGAAAGUUACGCUAAUACCGCAUAUUCUCUGAGGAGGAAAGCAGGGGGCCUUCGGGCCUUGCGCUAGAAGAGCGGCCGAUGUCGGAUUAGCUAGUUGGUGAGGUAAAGGCUCACCAAGGCAACGAUCCGUGGCGGGUCUGAGAGGAUGAUCCGCCACACUGGGACUGAGACACGGCCCAGACUCCUACGGGAGGCAGCAGUGGGGAAUUUUGGACAAUGGGCGCAAGCCUGAUCCAGCCAUGCCGCGUGAGUGAAGAAGGCCUUCGGGUUGUAAAGCUCUUUCGGCUGGGAAGAAAUCGCACUCUCUAAUACAGGGUGUGGAUGACGGUACCAGCAUAAGAAGCACCGGCUAACUACGUG